AGGUUUUUGAAUCGGUGAGGAGAUUUCGUCAGACAUCAACCCAUUAGGACUGACCAGACUUCCAAGAUCAGUGAAGUU
rnacentral:pre_miRNA from 1 species